rnacentral:rRNA from 1 species
UACGAAGGGGGCUAGCGUUGCUCGGAAUCACUGGGCGUAAAGGGUGCGUAGGCGGGUCUGUAAGUCAGGGGUGAAAUCCUGGAGCUCAACUCCAGAACUGCCUUUGAUACUGAAGAUCUUGAGUUUGGGAGAGGUGAGUGAAACUGCGAGUGUAGAGGUGAAAUUCGUAGAUAUUCGCAAGAACACCAGUGGCGAAGGCGGCUCACUGGCCCGAUACUGACGCUGAGGCACGAAAGCGUGGGGAGCAAACAGG